rnacentral:lncRNA from 1 species
CGCCGCUCCCGGGCUCGGCCGCGCCGCUGCUCGCGGCGCCCAGGUGCGGCGCGCUCCGUACGGACCCCGCUGCCGCGGCCUGAGCGACCAGCAGAGCAGGGGGAGAAAUAACGUUAAGUUUCGCAAACUGCACCGGGGCAUCGGCAGAGCGGCUGGCGCCCGGGUGUUGCAUUUAUUAAGGAAGCAGCAGCAGCACGUUGUCAGCCCGCUGAGGCUGGGGCCGAUCGCUCGCCGCAUACUAGCCUGGAUGCAAUCUCCCUGUAAGGAGUGUGAAAUGUACAGCUGCAAAACUACAGUUUUAAGCAAAAAAAAAGCUCUUCCUCAUCUGAACCAUCAUUCAAAACACAAGAUGAAAGUAGCUGAAGAAAAGUUGUUUAUGAUAUCAUCUGCAGGACUCCUAGAAAAUUCUUUGGAAACUUGGGCAUGUCUGUCUCAGGCUGCCCCUAAAAGAAAUGAAGUAUUAAUCUGGCAAGAUGAAAUCAAGAUGCACAAAGAGAAGAUAUUAGAGACUAUUCUGCAAGGUGUUCAGGACAACCGCCUGCAGUUUCAGAGAAGAAGCACAUAACAUGACAUGAAGAAAAUGAAAACAUAUUUAAAUAGAAUGUCUCCAGAUUCACUGAUAACAUGCAAACUGGAGUCUGCUUGCCGUUGUCUGUUUGAGAUAUGACAUCACAGCUAACAAGGGAGACUAAGAAGUAAUGUGACUCCAGACAAGUAUUUUGGGUAGAUCACUUGUGUCAGCUGAGAAGUUGAAAAAUGAUUUUUCACUUGGAACAGAGAUUUGUUACUGCUCCUUUGUAGUUAAGGCAUGCUUUAGGAAGCACUGAGUAAAAAAUUAGUGGGUUGUUUGCAUUUUGGAAAAUGUUCAUACUUUCAGAAGGCAAGGGAAUCAAAACCAGCACAUUCCUGGAGGGUACAUUUAGUUAGGACAUGCUGGUAUAGGCUAAACUUUUGGAAAGCUUUGCAGUCCAUCAGCAUUGCGUUCUAGUUUUGGUGGAGUGUAACACACUGCUCUUUGUAACUGUGCAGCUUCCACAUUCUUUCAGACUUAAUUAUUUGCAUGUUGCAGUUGCAUCCUUCUCAGUAAGCUUACAUUCAGCAGCGUGUCAGAAAAAAAGAUUUGCAUAUUUGGACUUCAUUGAAUAACAUACCUGUUUGAGGAGUCUCAGUGCCUUCAGAACCAUGUAUUGGUUACUAUCCAGCAUAAUCUAAAUAAAACAAGUCCCACAACACA